rnacentral:rRNA from 1 species
AUUGAACGCUGGCGGCAGGCCUAACACAUGCAAGUCGAGCGGAUGAAGGGAGCUUGCUCCUGGAUUCAGCGGCGGACGGGUGAGUAAUGCCUAGGAAUCUGCCUGGUAGUGGGGGAUAACGCCCGGAAACGGGCGCUAGUACCGCAUACGUCCUGAGGGAGAAAGUGGGGGAUCUUCGGACCUCACGCUAUCAGAUGAGCCUAGGUCGGAUUAGCUAGUUGGUGGGGUAAAGGCCUACCAAGGCGACGAUCCGUAACUGGUCUGAGAGGAUGAUCAGUCACACUGGAACUGAGACACGGUCCAGACUCCUACGGGAGGCAGCAGUGGGGAAUAUUGGACAAUGGGCGAAAGCCUGAUCCAGCCAUGCCGCGUGUGUGAAGAAGGUCUUCGGAUUGUAAAGCACUUUAAGUUGGGAGGAAGGGCAGUAAGUUAAUACCUUGCUGUUUUGACGUUACCAACAGAAUAAGCACCGGCUAACUUCGUG